UACAGAGGUGCCAAGCGUUGUUCGGAUUUAUUGGGCGUAAAGGGUGCGUAGGCGGUCAAGCAAGUCGGGUGUGAAAUUCCGGAGCCUAACUCCGGAACUGCAUUCGAAACUGCUUGGCUCGAGGUCUGGAGAGGUAAUUGGAAUUCUCGGUGUAGCAGUGAAAUGCGUAGAUAUCGAGAGGAACACCAGAGGCGAAAGCGAAUUACUGGACAGAACCUGACGCUGAGGCACGAAAGCUAGGGGAGCAAACGGG
rnacentral:rRNA from 1 species